AUUGAACGCUGGCGGCAGGCCUAACACAUGCAAGUCGAGCGAGCGGCGGACGGGUUAGUAAUGUCUGGGAAACUGCCUGAUGGAGGGGGAUAACUACUGGAAACGGUAGCUAAUACCGCAUACCAUCAGAUGUGCCCAGAUGGGAUUAGCUAGUAGGUGGGGUAACGGCUCACCUAGUCGACGAUCCCUAGCUGGUCUGAGAGGAUGACCAGCCACACUGGAGCUGAGACACGGUCCAGACUCCUACGGGAGGCAGCAGUGGGGAAUAUUGCACAAGGGGCGCAAGCCUGAUGCAGCCAUGCCGCGUGUAUGAAGAAGGCCUUCGGGUUGUAAAGUACUUUCAGCGGGGAGGCGUUACCCGCAGAAGAAGCACCGGCUAACUCCGUGCCAGCAGCCGCGGUAAUUC
rnacentral:rRNA from 1 species